UUCCGGUCUCUGGAGCGCUGGGCCACAGAGACGAUGCUAGCGGAAGCCUAGAGAGGCCGCUACGAGUCUGGAAGGGACCUGAGGCUUCCGCCCAGCGGAGAGGCAAGAUGGCUACGACUAGGGGCGGCUCUGGGCCUGACCCAGGAAGUCGGGGUCUUCUUCUUCUGUCUUUUUCCGUGGUACUGGCAGGAUUGUGUGGGGGAAACUCAGUGGAGAGGAAAAUCUACAUUCCCUUAAAUAAAACAGCUCCUUGUGUCCGCCUGCUCAACGCCACUCAUCAGAUUGGCUGCCAGUCUUCAAUUAGUGGGGAUACAGGGGUUAUCCAUGUAGUGGAGAAAGAAGAAGACCUGAAGUGGGUGUUGACCGAUGGCCCCAACCCCCCUUACAUGGUUCUGCUGGAGGGCAAGCUCUUCACCAGAGAUGUAAUGGAGAAGCUGAAGGGAACAACCAGUAGAAUCGCUGGUCUUGCCGUGACUCUAGCCAAGCCCAACUCAACUUCAAGCUUCUCUCCUAGUGUGCAGUGCCCAAAUGAUGGGUUUGGUAUUUACUCCAACUCCUACGGGCCAGAGUUUGCUCACUGCAAGAAAACACUGUGGAAUGAACUGGGCAACGGCUUGGCUUAUGAAGACUUUAGUUUCCCCAUCUUUCUUCUUGAAGAUGAGAACGAAACCAAGGUCAUCAAGCAGUGCUAUCAAGAUCACAACCUGGGUCAGAAUGGCUCUGCACCAAGCUUCCCAUUGUGUGCUAUGCAGCUCUUCUCACACAUGCACGCCGUCAUCAGCACUGCCACCUGCAUGCGGCGCAGCUUCAUCCAGAGCACCUUCAGCAUCAACCCAGAAAUCGUCUGUGACCCCUUAUCCGACUACAACGUAUGGAGCAUGCUUAAGCCUAUAAAUACAUCUGUGGGACUAGAACCUGACGUCAGGGUUGUGGUUGCGGCCACACGGCUGGAUAGCCGGUCCUUUUUCUGGAAUGUGGCCCCAGGGGCUGAAAGUGCUGUAGCCUCCUUUGUCACUCAGCUGGCUGCAGCUGAAGCUUUGCACAAGGCACCUGAUGUGACCACUCUAUCCCGAAAUGUGAUGUUUGUCUUCUUCCAGGGGGAAACUUUUGACUACAUUGGCAGCUCACGGAUGGUCUAUGAUAUGGAGAACGGCAAGUUUCCCGUGCGGCUCGAGAACAUUGACUCCUUCGUGGAGCUGGGACAGGUGGCCCUAAGAACUUCACUAGAUCUCUGGAUGCACACAGAUCCCAUGUCUCAGAAAAAUGAGUCUGUGAAAAACCAGGUGGAGGAUCUUCUGGCCACUCUGGAGAAGAGCGGUGCUGGUGUCCCUGAAGUUGUCCUGAGGAGACUGGCCCAGUCCCAGGCCCUUCCACCUUCGUCUCUACAACGAUUUCUUCGGGCUCGAAACAUCUCUGGCGUGGUCCUGGCUGACCACUCUGGCUCCUUCCACAAUCGGUAUUACCAGAGCAUUUAUGACACGGCUGAGAACAUUAAUGUGACCUAUCCUGAGUGGCAGAGCCCAGAAGAGGACCUCAACUUUGUGACAGACACUGCCAAGGCACUGGCGAAUGUGGCCACAGUGCUGGCGCGUGCACUGUAUGAGCUUGCAGGAGGAACCAACUUCAGCAGCUCCAUCCAGGCUGAUCCCCAGACAGUUACACGUCUGCUCUAUGGGUUCCUGGUUAGAGCUAACAACUCAUGGUUUCAGUCGAUCUUGAAACAUGACCUAAGGUCCUAUUUGGAUGACAGGCCUCUUCAACACUACAUCGCCGUCUCCAGCCCUACCAACACGACUUACGUUGUGCAGUACGCCUUGGCAAACCUGACUGGCAAGGCGACCAACCUCACCCGAGAGCAGUGCCAGGAUCCAAGUAAAGUCCCAAAUGAGAGCAAGGAUGUGAGUGGCGUUAUAUGAAUACUCGUGGGUACAAGGCCCUUGGAAUUCCAACAGGACAGAGAGGCUCCCACAGUGUGUGCGCUCCACAGUGCGACUGGCCAGGGCCUUGUCCCCUGCCUUUGAACUGAGUCAGUGGAGCUCCACAGAAUACUCUACGUGGGCGGAGAGCCGCUGGAAAGACAUCCAAGCUCGGAUAUUCCUAAUUGCCAGCAAAGAGCUUGAGUUCAUCACGCUGAUCGUGGGCUUCAGCACCCUUGUCUUCUCCCUCAUCGUCACCUACUGCAUCAAUGCCAAAGCCGACGUCCUUUUCGUUGCUCCCCGAGAGCCAGGAGCUGUGUCUUACUGAAGAGGACUCUAGCUCUCCCUGCCUGCUCUGAACUUUACUUCCCAGACCAGGUGUCCGGCUGGGAACAAACCACUAAUUUGUCACUGGACUGUCUCUGGGCCUGCUUAGACGGGGAUUGACACACAGAAUGGAACUGUGAGUGGAGAGAUGAAUAAGUUGCCCCCCCAGCCCCCCUUCCCAUUUGUUUCUCCUUCUCUAAUCCCAGGGACUAUGGUAGAGACUUGCUGCUCCUAACUCCCCAGUUACCCACCCUCCUCUGCCCUUUCUCGGGAUACCUUCUGUCCUUCCAUCCUGCCCUGUACUGCCCUCUGACUCCACUGUCACCCGACACCCCUCCCCCAUAUUCAGCCACCUGCUGCACCAGGAAGAGGGUGUGAAAGAUUGUGCAUCUGCAUUCAACUACCCUGAACCCUUAGGGAAGAAAUGGAUUCCCUGGCUGAGCCAGUGUCUCUUUCCCACUGUCCUUUCUCCAGGUGUGCAGAUGGCAUGUUAGUGUGGGCACGCUGUUAAGUGGGUAUCCCACCUCCAGCCCACAGUGCUCAGUUGUACUUUUUAUUAUUAAACUAUAAUUAUCUAUUUUUGUUGGGGUUUUUUCCUUUUUUUUUUUUUUUGUAAGUAUAUAAAUAGCAAGUUUCAUUAAAAUUAUGCAAUACAA